rnacentral:rRNA from 1 species
UACGUAGGGCGCAAGCGUUGUCCGGAAUUAUUGGGCGUAAAGAGCUCGUAGGUGGCUUGUCACGUCGGGGGUGAAAGCUUGGGGCUUAACUCCAGGUCUGCAUUCGAUACGGGCUGGCUAGAGGUAGGUAGGGGAGAACGGAAUUCCUGGUGUAGCGGUGAAAUGCGCAGAUAUCAGGAGGAACACCGGUGGUGUAAACGGCUUUCUGGACCGUAACUGACGCUGAGGCACGAAAGCGUGGGGAGCAAACAGG